ensembl:lincRNA
AUGGAGCAUUUUGUUAAGGGAAAAGACUGGCAGCCACAACCAGCAAGCAGCAUCCUUAGCUCACAGCAACAAACAGAGCUGGUGGAAACCCCUAAGGAAAGAGGUUCCGGUGUGACAGAGGUCAGGGCUUUGACGAGGGAAAGCAGGGAGAGACAGGCGGUGAUCCCAAGAUGUCCGCCCGCCCCCUGCUCGCCUGCCCGCUGCCUCGGCUUUCACUGCAGUGCCGCGGCCCCGCCCCAGCUCCAGCUGCGCUUGCGCAUCCACCUCCCGCGCAGACUACAAGUCCCGCCAGGUCCUGCGGCUUUCUCUCGGACAACUGAGGACUCCAGGCCUAUAAAACUACAACUACCGACCACCUUAGACCGCCCUCCUAACUUCCGGGGUAGGCGUGGCCUUAGCGCUCCCGGCCGGAAGCCCCUAUGCCGGCCACUGCACACGCUGGGUUUCUCAAGCAGUGUACUGGGAUCUGUAGUCUUUCCCUUUGUUGAAGCCUAUCUGUUAAAUUUAGAAUGUUGUAGGCCUUUUGUGUUCCCGGAGUCUGAAAAGUGGCUUCUUCAUCCUUCACCUCUCACUCUCUCUCUCUCUCUCAUACACACUUGGCAGAGGUGUGAUUCUCCCAAAUUUUUCUCAUGUAUUUCUUCCAGACAUACACCUUUUUCCAACGAUCAACACCCAAGGAUGGGCAGGAAGGGAGGAGACACACUCUUACAAGAAACUAGCUAAAGCCAGGCUUGGUGGCUCACACCUGUAAUCCCAGCACUCGGAGGCUGAGGCAGGAGGAGUGCUGUGAGUUCGAGACCAGCCUGGGCUACAUAGUGAGUUCCAGGUCAGUCUCAACUAUAUAUAGUGAGACUCAGGCUCA